GCCUCGGUAUUGUAAUGGUAGAAGCACGCGUCUCCCGGAUAGGACGAAACGCGGGUUCGAUGCCCAGCCUGAGGCC